CCUACGGGUGGCAGCAGUGAGGAAUAUUGGUCAAUGGACGAGAGUCUGAACCAGCCAAGUAGCGUGAAGGAUGACUGCCCUAUGGGUUGUAAACUUCUUUUAUAUGGGAAUAAAAUGAUCCACGUGUGGGAUUUUGUAUGUACCUUAUGAAUAAGGAUCGGCUAACGCCGUGCCAGCAGCCGCGGUAAUACGGAGGAUCCGAGCGUUAGCCGGAUUUAUUGGGUUUAAAGGGAGCGUAUGUGGAUUGUUAAGUCAGUUGUGAAAGUUUGCGGCUCAACCGUAAAAUUGCAGUUGAAACUGGCAGUCUUGAGUACAGUAGAGGUGGGCGGAAUUCGUGGUGUAGCGGUGAAAUGCUUAGAUAUCACGAAGAACUCCGAUUGCGAAGGCAGUUCACUGGACUGCAACUGACACUGAGGCUCGAAAGUGUGGGUAUCAAACAGGAUUAGAUACCCUUGUAGUC
rnacentral:rRNA from 1 species